CUCUCAGUGUAUCUGUGAUUGUUUCAUUUAUUACUGGCAUGCUUAGUGUAUUACUUCUCUUGAUUUCAAACAGAUCAGGUAGCGUCAGGAUGUGUUGGAGAGUGCAGUGGGCCGGCUGACAUGAGUCACAUGACAGCCUUGGAAGAGAUGGCCAAGGUAAUGGUGCAAAAUCCUAGGGAACCAGCGGCUAGCGAGGAGUCCGAAUCAAUGGUGGUACUACGUGAGUUUCAGAAACAAAACCCACUGGUGUUUCGAGGUUGGCCAGAGCCAAAGUUAGCAGAGCACUGGCUUAGUCAGAUGGAGAAGAUUCUGAAUUCUAUGUCCAUAACUGAUGAUCAGACCAGAGUGUCUUUAGCAGCCUCUCAGUUAGAGGAGGAUGCAGUCCAGUGGUGGCAUUUGAUAGACCGGACUUUGACAUGGCAGGAGUUCAGGGAUUUGUUUAUUGACAAAUACUUUCCACUCAUAUUCCGACAUGCGUUGAGAAUGAUUUCCUCCAGCUAGUGCAGCGUGGCAUAACUGUCACAGAAUAUGAGGCUGAGUUUUCAGAGUUGGCUGGAUAUGCUCAUGAAUUGGUUCCGGAUGAGGAGACUAGGAUUAGAAGGUUCUUAAGGGGACUAAAGGUCACUCUCCGACGCAGGGUGUCUAUGUUGGAUCUGCACUCAUAUUCGGAGGCUGUUAAUAGGGCAUUGGCUGUGGAGGAGGAGUUAGAUAACGAAAAGAGUUUUCAAAGAGAGAAGUCACAUAGGGAUCCAGACCAGAGGAGUUGCUAUAAUUGUGGACAGCCUUUACACUACAAGAAUUGAUGCCCACAGCGAGAAGCAAGGCAUGAUUUUCUGGCUAUUGUGGGCCUUCGGGCAUCCUGUUAUCAUCCUGUUUCUUUUUCUUUCUUGCGUUUCAUGCGUUUCAAUUCGUUACAGAAUAGUCUCAUUCAUCACAUUUCAUAUUUUCCGAGUUAUGUACUUAAUUGCAUUCACAACAGGUUAGGGUCAAACUCUUUAUCCACAACCAAAUGAUCUAAUGAUGGACAAUGAAGGAGAAAUAAGCUGGACUGGGUUAUUAGAGUAUAUAUCACAUUGAGUCACAAAGUCGAUUUUGUCAUGGGUUGGGUUGAAGUUGAAUGACUGUUUAGACUUUAGAGUAGUGAUGGGAUUAUAGUAUCAAUAUUUGAGGCAUUCGGGUAAAUCAUUCAAGACAUUAGAGGGUUUGUUUAGGGUAGUCAAAAAGUGUAUGACAGCCAGAACUUACUAUACUAGUUUUUUGGGGGUACUUUUUUCUUCCUCUUGGAGAUCGUCAAGUGACCACCCGCACAGGAAUUCAUAGCAGGCAGUUAUUAUGCCAAGUCAGAUAUUCACCUUGUAAAUUGGUAGCAGAAAUUAUCCAUUUGCAAUUAAAAAGUGCUCGUUGUUGAGAACAUUUGGCCAUGUGAAGACUAAAUUUCUUUGGAAUUUAACUUUUGCUGUGUUGGCAUUUAACUUUUGCUGUGUUUUCCCCUUCAAUUGGUUAAUGGGGGAAUCUUCUGUAUAAUAGCUUAACCUUGAUCUAAGAAGAAAUGACCUUGAUAGUUUGGUACAAGCGGAAGUACUGGUCAGCCUAGUGUCAUUAGUUGAACAUUUUCUUCACAUAUAUACCUGGGGACGGAUCUCAUGGACUCAAAAUUUCUUCGUUACGGCUUUGGAGUCAUUUAAGAAGAUGAUGUAUCGGGUGUGGGAUUCUAUAUCCCUUCUUUAUAUGUUGCGGGUUUGCCACGUUAGCACAUCAUUUAUUCUAUUGCGUGCUUGCAACACAGGACAUCACCCGGGUCUUCACGCCAGAAGACUUGUUAUCUUUGUGGAGAGCCAGGGCACUUCGAGCAUAAUUGUGGACUGAAUGGAGCAAAACAAGACUUUAGCUGGUUUUCAUAAUGACAGCAGUCUGCUGCCCUAUAGGAGGAGAUGACUAGCAAGGCCCUCCAAUGAUGGUACCUCCACAAUAUGCUGCUCCAAAUCAUCGAGAGCCUGGUUUCUUUGAGUGAUGAUUGGUGAUUCUUUUCCCUUUCUUUUGCACAGUACUAGUUUCGCACUUUGUUGAAAUUGCAUAUCCAAAUAGUUCGAUCUUUCUCUUUUUUUCGCUGUUGUUGAAUGUCAGAGUUCAGACCGGUAGAGAUAGAAGGACACGAACUUUCGUGGAAUGUGGAGUGUGACAUCCGACACUCCCGGACACAUUUGUUGGAGACUUGUCUAACUGUGUCAAGGGAUUUCUUUGGUUAGAUUCCUUAAAUACAUAAGCAUUAAUUUAGAAAUCAUAACAAAAUAUUCUGAAAA